UGCAUAGAGUAAUAGGGAAGAUACUUACAAGAACUUAAGGUUUGCGAACAAUGUUUACUUAAGGUUUUGAAAGCUUUUUUAGGGCCUUGUUUGUAGGAGUUUUAUUCUUUUGGAAGAGGACUAAUGGGCUGGAGCUGAUGCAGUUUGACAAGAGGGAAUGGAGAACUAUUGAGCACAGCAGCAGCUAGGGGUAGAAAGGAAUGAGAGAGGCUGAGGGCCCCCACUCCUGGCAGCAAGGACUAGGAGGAGUAAAGUCCCCACAAACGGUGAUGGAUGACAAAGUCAAGUCAGCAGCCUUGCAUAAAGAAGCGGGAAUUGUUUGGUUGGAUGGGAUCCUCGUGACCUGCAGAUAAGUUUCCAGGCUCUGAACUUUCAAAGGCAUCUUCCUUCAUGAGAUCUGUGUGUGCUUGGUGCUGUUUCUGGAGAGUGGUGGAACCUGCUAGCAUUUUCUAAGUGCCAGUGUUCUGUGGAAUGUGGAUAUACCAUGUACCUGGAGAUACAUUGUGCUGCACUUACAAAAUAGCAUUUCUGUGCUGCCUUAACUUGAUAUGAAUUCUGGGCUGAAAUAAUUGAAGUUGUCUUCGUUGCCACUUACUUGGGUUCUUAAGUAGGGUUAAAUAAUUAACGUUGCUUUAUUUUUUUAUUUCUAUUAUUAGAGCUCACUGUUUUGAUUCCUUCCUCCUAUGUGCAAUUCUUGCAUGUCUUUAGAGUGAAUAGUAGCUGAUUGCAUACUUCCCUUUCUCCUCCAAGAAUAUUUUCUUUUCCUUCUUAUUUUUGAGGUGGACACCAAGAUGAGUCUGCUUACAUUCUUCCACUAUCUCGUGCUAAGGAUCAAAUAUCCCUUCCUCUAACAUGAGGAUCCACUGUCCCUUCAUUUAGAAAAAACAUAUCCACUUUACUGUAAAAAUACUCAAUAUUGUUUUCUAUUUUAAGAACACUUUUUAAAAUUAGCCAGUCCAAGCAGAAAUGUAAUUCUAAAAGGCACCAUUUUACACUAUUUAAAAAUCAGAGGCUUAGGGGAGUAUUUUCCUUAAUUUUUUUAUAGUGUCAUUAUUUAGCUUGCUCCAGUGUAUGCCUCUUAUUUUGACAUGCCUGGCCUGUUUUGAAUGUGCAUCCCCUAGUGCACCAUUUUAUAUCUAAAUCUUCUCUGAAUUAUGUUGCCAGGGUUUCUGAUGUCUUUAUGCAGAAAUGUGUAACUUAUGCUAACGUAAAAUGUUUCUGAACUAUUUCAACGAUGUCUUGUUCAGCGGGUGCCAAGGAGCCACUGUUUUUUGUUUUUGUUUUUGUUUUUUUUCCCUUUGGUUCUAUAUUAACUUAAUCUAGGGCACACUUGUGCUGCAAACUCCAGCUGAGAAAUUAACGGUAGCUCUGCCUAUAUGGUUACAUAGCAGAGCCAAUAAUGUUGUUCACUAAGAGGAGUUCCUGUUGUCUUUAUUCAGUUUUAUAUAUCAGUCACUAGAGGGCAACAUUUGACUUCUUUUAGUGGUGAAUUGAAACGCUUUAACAAAACAUAUUUAAGCUCCCAUCAUGGGUAGCUGAAUACAGACCAGGCCCAAUACCCACUGAAGUCCGUGCAUGAUUCCCAUUUACUUCACUAACUCCUGUGCAGGCUACAUUUGAAAUGGAAAACUUAAAAGAAAUACUGAAAACAAUAUCUGAAUAAUAUCUUUCUCACCCUGGAGCUAAGGGUUACAUGUUUGUUCUGAGCUAAUUUCAUUGCACUCACUGUGAGUGGUGUGAUGUCAACAACCCUUGUGGAAAAAAUAUGUCUUAACCUCUGUACUUGGGGCCUGUAGAGGGGACUGUGUGAUUGUAAAGGCCUGUUCAGUCAAAUCCAUUUGUAGGAUUAAGGCCUUGGCACAGGGUAUUUAGAGCAUGGGAGGAACUGAUCAAAUUGAUUUUGAAACUUUAUUUGUAUGAUCAGAUUUUCAAACACGUAUACAGACAAUUGUGUGCUGUUUUGUGCAUAUAAAUAUCAUGAUGACUUUCAUUACAUACUUAUGCAGGCAUUUGGCCACUUAUGUUUGCA